UCGCCGUGGACGAGCUCGGCCACCGGCCGGGCGUCGGUGGCCGGCGCGAUGGUCGCGCGCUCGGCGGCCCGGUUCCAGCCCGAGGCGGCGAG
rnacentral:tRNA from 1 species